rnacentral:rRNA from 1 species
GUGGGGAAUUUUGGACAAUGGGCGAAAGCCUGAUCCAGCAAUGCCGCGUGUGUGAAGAAGGCCUUCGGGUUGUAAAGCACUUUUGGUAGGGAAGAAACAGUGCGUGCUAAUACCAUGCGCGAAUGACGGUACCUGCAGAAUAAGCACCGGCUAACUACGUGCCAGCAGCCGCGGUAAUACGUAGGGUGCAAGCGUUAAUCGGAAUUACUGGGCGUAAAGCGUGCGCAGGCGGCUUUGUAAGACGGAUGUGAAAGCCCCGGGCUCAACCUGGGAAGUGCAUUCGUGACUGCAAGGCUAGAGUGGGUCAGAGGGAGGUGGAAUUCCGCGUGUAGCAGUGAAAUGCGUAGAGAUGCGGAGGAACACCGAUGGCGAAGGCAGCCUCCUGGGAUAACACUGACGCUCAGGCACGAAAGCGUGGGGAGCAAACAGGAUUAGAAACCCGGGUAGUCC